AUUUUGAGCUCAAAAGUUUUCAAAUAAAUCCGUGUUAAUCUGCUUCGGAAGAGAGGAAUUUUAAAGACUAUACUAUCAAUACAACAUUUAGUAUAAAGUCAAGCUUUCAGAAAUGGACGUUCUACAAUAUUAAAAUAACUGAAUAUUGCACCGAACGACGGGAUUUUGAAAUGGCAAUACAGUAUUUACAAGGAGCCGCCACCAUUAUAAAAUUGUUCACAUAAUAAUUGUUGUUGAUAUUUACAUAAUUUACUGGAGAAUUUGAAUACGUGUAUUGUCGUACGUUUUCCAAUGAAUCGACAAGUGUUUCAUUCGCAAACUAAAGUCUCGCAGAAGCUUCACAUACAGUAUGAAGAUUUAUACAACAGCGAUAUUACUUCAACCGUUUCCUACCUUUUAAAAUUUGAAGACAGUACGGUUCCACAUUUACUGGCAGUUCGUCCUCUUGUUUGUGAAAUGCAACUGCAUUCGCAGUGGAAAUAUUAUUUGGUUAUGCAAUUGAAGAGCUCUAGAGGUUUUAGAAUUAGGUUCUUUUGUUGGGUAUUAGCAAUGCUACAAAAAACUGAAGGUACUAUAAAAUAUGGGCCAUGCUAUUUAGUAUUCAAAUCCUCCCCCCCCCCCCCCCCCCC